rnacentral:rRNA from 1 species
CUCCUACGGGAGGCAGCAGUAAGGAAUAUUGGUCAAUGGGCGAAAGCCUGAACCAGCCAUCCAGCGUGCAGGAAGAAGGCCCUAUGGGUUGUAAACUGCUUUUAUCAGGGAAGAAACCUCUGGAUUCACUCCGGAGCUGACGGUACCUGAAGAAUAAGCACCGGCUAACUCCGUGCCAGCAGCCGCGGUAAUACGGAGGGUGCGAGCGUUAUCCGGAAUUACUGGGUUUAAAGGGUGCGUAGGCGGCUUUGUAAGUCAGGAGUGAAAGUUUGCGGCUCAACCGUAAAAUUGCUUCUGAUACUGCAUAGCUAGAAUUAGGAUGAGGUCAGCGGAAUGUGGCAUGUAGCGGUGAAAUGCAUAGAUAUGCCAUAGAACACCAAUUGCGAAGGCAGCUGGCUAGACCUGGAUUGACGCUGAGGCACGAAAGCGUGGGGAGCGAACAGGAUUAGAUACCCUGGUAGUCCACGCCCUAAACGAUGCUUACUCGACGUAUGAGACUCGAUCUUGUGCGUCCAAGGGAAACCGUUAAGU